ACGGAAGGCAGCAGUAGGGAAUCUUCGGCAAUGGGGGCAACCCUGACCGAGCAACGCCGCGUGAGUGAUGACGGUUUUCUGAUCGUAAAGCUCUGUUGUAAGAGAAGAACGUGUGUGAGAGUGGAAAGUUCACACAGUGACGGUAACUUACCAGAAAGGGACGGCUAACUACGUGCCAGCAGCCGCGGUAAUACGUAGGUCCCGAGCGUUGUCCGGAUUUAUUGGGCGUAAAGCGAGCGCAGGCGGUUUAAUAGGUGUGAAGUUAAAGGCAGUGGCUUAACCAUUGUUCGCAUUGGAAACUGUUGGACUUGAGUGCAGAAGAGGAGAGUGGAAUUCGAUGUGUAGCGGUGAAAUGCGUAGAUAUAUGGAGGAACACCGAUGGCGAAAGCGGCUCUCUGGUCUGUAACUGACGCUGAGGUUCGAAAGCGUGGGUAGCGAACAGGAUUAGAUACCCUGGUA
rnacentral:rRNA from 1 species